AUUAACUGACCAGUAUCAAAUAGGACGAAACGCGCGUCUUGGAU
rnacentral:hammerhead_ribozyme from 1 species